UUUCAGUAACGUUACACGAUGGAAGUGUGGCUCCAAAAGAGUGCUGUCCAAGCACCUUCUGCUGAAAGAUCCUGCGUAACGGCCGACAUACACACAUGGGCAUAAACAUUCAAGAGACGAUCAACAAACGAAGCUUUCAAAUGGGGAGAGCACUUCUUCAAAGGAAAUACAAAACGCCAGAUCCGAAGGAUUUUUUUAUUUUUUGUUUAUGACACUUCAACAGACACGUUGGUUGAGAUUGAGUUAACAUAAUCACUUCACGAAUUACGGGAUGCGGGAUAUACUCGAAGACGGACCUUCCAGCACCAUCAACUAGAAAAAAAAUAGUUGAAAAUAUUUGCCAUCUUAACGAACGCAACAACGACUAAUGAUACCCGAAGCUGUGCUGUACAUCGCCCCAAGACACAAGCACACAACAGCACGAGAGUGCGAUCGAUGCCAACAAACCUGAAACGACACACAGAAUCUGCACAGCACCACCGUAGCAAGUUAAGAAAGGAGAAAGAAAACCAUUUCGACGCGUGCAACAACAUAUUGUUACAUCAACGAAGACAAACCACACGCGCAAGAAACCACAUGCUGGCAAAGACGAAAACGAAUUGAAGAAAACACUGCAAGAAAACAAAACGAAGCGAAGAAGAUGAAAAUCUACGCCAAAUGGCAAGAAAAGAAAAGAAGAAGAAAUGAAAAACACAGACACAGAAGAAAUGCAACAAUUAAGUUCCUACUUUAAAAUAAAGAAAAAAUGAAAUGAAACAUAGAUAAAAAUAUACGUUAUAAACGAGAGUGUAGUAAUUGUACUAUUUAGGCGCAUGAAUUUAUCCCAACCGGAUUGUUCGAUGUUUUUUGGGAGUGAAAGGAGACGCGGAAGCGGAAGGAAAAAUGCUUGACGGAAAAAAAAUUAAAUAUAAACAAAACACUGACACAAACAAAAAACCAUACACACACACACACUAACAGAGAUAACGAUGAGAGUUGAACAUAACUCUAUGAAACGUGAAGCAUGAAAACAAAUGUAAAGUUACUAGAGACUGAACGUUUGUCGUGGUGCUGUCAGUGUUGAUGGUUGUAGCAUUUGGUUGAUGAACUCGUUAGGUAAAAAGGGAAUGCGAACACCUUUCUUUAUUAGCUUAGAAUGAAAUCACAACGGUAAGACAACGCGUCGCAUAAGGUAGCAAGCAUUUGAGUGCUCUAAUUGGGAUUGGAAAAUAUGUCCAUUGAACCUCAAGCAACCUGUCGUAGGAUUUCGGCGCUAACGGAACCAACAAGCUGGUCUCCGGACUGUUCUGCGCCAGAGAUAUACGACAGGAUUGUCUGGCAAGGAUCAUUCUCAAACAACGUCCCAAAAAGAUUGCGCUCACUGAAAUGCGGCGCUUAUCACAACGUCUGUCUGUUGAGCCGAACCUGCUUUUAGUCUGAGCAGAAAAGAACAGGUCGACCAUUCCGUCGCUUCUAUCGACACUUCAGCGCCAAACUCUGCGCCCAAAAACCCUGUCGUACCCGGUUAAACAGAACAGUUUUUGCACCUCGCUUGCUCUCAUCUCUGAAUGCUAAGAGAUGAGAACUAAAAUUCUACUAACUAAUAAUACAUAGGGCUAAGGAGACGCAAACCAAACGGAAGAACGGCAUUCGUUAAAAGGAGUUUAAAACACGAAAAAGGACGAUGAUAACGCUGAAAAGAGGGGAGGCGAAAUUAUGUGUAAGAAACAUUGAUGAAUUAUUGUAUAAAGUGAGUUUUAGGUGAGGAAAGCAAAACAUGCAGAAGAGAUAGAGAACAAAAAACAACUCUGCAAACUCCAUGGAUCGAGUUGUACGAAUCACCAUUUAGAGUGUGUGUGUGUGUUUAGUUCCAAAAUGUGCAACCAGCGUUAGAAAACACUAAACGAAGUCGAAGUAAAUGAACCAACAUAGGAACAGAAAAAAUCAAUCCCAUACAUGUGUUGAAAUGAUUGUUAAACUUCUAAUAAUGAAAUAGAAUUACCGUACACUCUUCCUUUUAAAAACCGACAGAAAUUAAAACCAUUCGGUCGGCAGGGUGUAGUUUUAACAGCAGAAUCCGGAAAAGUGUGCACUCCUCACACGCGAUAAGCCAUUUGAUGCGGGCGAUUUUCGAACCAUUGCGCCAAAACAUGCCGUUCCCGAUGGACGGGCUAAAGGCUUGAACCGUAAAUUAACACCAAACAAGCGUUCCAAAGUAGUCCAUUACACUGACAAUGACGAUUGCGAUGAUACUUAACAUCUAGAAUUGGCUUAUUAUACAUAGAGAUAUUUUAUAAAACUGAAAAAACGAAAAAAAAAUUAAAAUGAUAAAAAAUCCACAAAAAAAUAUUAUUAACGAGUGCAUAUUAGAAUGGGAGUCGGUUGCCCUCGUUGGUGAUGACCACUCAUUUCGCAGCAGGUGCCGUUCUCGAACGUACCGAAUGAUGAUGAUGAUGUGUUGUAGGCUGCUUGUAACUAAACUGAUAAAUGUAUGUAAAUGAAAAAAAAACCCACGUGCAAUGUAAUGAUUUAUGUCAACGCUAUCAAUCAAAACGGAAGCGGAUCGUCUGAAGAGUAGGUAAAUUGUGCUUACAAUUGCGAGGAAGCAUAACUACCUUCUCUUCGAUAACGUUAGGGUUAUUCUUUGAAACGCGAUACAAAACUUCAACCCGAUCUCUUGAAGUCGACAGGAGAACGAAUUCAAGUUUUACGCUAUUCAUGUAGGAAUUAUGAUUCCCAAGGCGGACGAAAUGAGAUAGAAGUAAAAGAGAUGAGACAAGUGAUUAUUAAACAUUAUCUAACUGGUCGCUAAUGAUAUGAGUAGAUUGAUAUUCAAAAACGAAGAUGAUUGUGGGUGACAUCAAGCACUACUAAUGAAAAGUUCCUAAAAUGCAUUCCCAACCCUCUGGCACACGGUGAAAAGUGGGUGAGGGGGGAAAGGUUUGCGACAAUUUGCAUUAAAAUUACAGAUUACACAAGCAUUACGAAAACGUACUACUAGAAAUAACCGUAAUUAUAAAUGGUAGAGUUAGCUUGGGUUUAAUCUUUUUAUUUAUAAUAUCUAAGUGAUUGAAUCUGUUAGCAUUUAGAAAUAAUGAGAAGCUAGCUAAAGAAGCAGCAACAUUGAUAAGCGCGGAAACAUGGAACGAGACGGUUCAAGCAGAGGGACUCAUGGUGCAAUGUACUAAAGAGAUAAGAUGAUGCAAUACACACAACAAUGAACUUUCACAAUUUCCAACACAGGUGUGGAGGAGUGAAACGAAAAUCCGGAAACACCCUACUGACCACAGAAACGGUGCAACUGUAAGCAGUGUACUUUUCCAAUCCACGCACAUACCUUCAAAUAAACACACACAAAAUGCGUACCGUAUCGUAAGAACAAUCAACUGUGAGCAUUUUUGAAAAUGACGAACGAACGUAAAAGAAUGUUGAACUUUUUUUCUACUUCAAAUCCAAUCAAGCAGAAGAAAUGGGGAAGAAUUGAUCGUUGUUUCUUUUGGGGGAAGUACCAAACACACACGCACACAUUACUCGUCUCAAAUGCACUCCAAAAAUGCGCCAAGAAAAGACAACCACGUCAAACAUGCACAGUUAUUUUACAAGAAAAAAAAACUAUGAAUACUCAUUCCAAGCGAACACGCAAAAUUGAAGAAAAGGAUACUCGCGAGAACAACAAUAAUAGUUUAGUAGAUCGAAUUGAAAUGCGUGACUGAAUGUCAAGGAAGGUUGAAGAUUGUGAAACUGGCGUAAAGCUGAAUCACUUAACUUUAAAAGAAACCUAUUUUGUUCCUAUUUGAAAGAAAGAUGUGAGGAAAUGGUUAAAAAAAAUGAAUCAAGAGAAAACAGAAGAGAAACAAAUUCACACAAUAGACACAUGCGGCAAAACUCCAAAAAAUAUCAAAUUAAACCGAAACGAAAAAGGCUCGAUUUGAAAUCACACACACACACACAUUUGGAAAAAUCUAACUACGCAGCAGAAGGAAGCCAACAGAUGAAGAAGAAAUGUAGAAAAGACUCGACAUAUCAUGAACGAUUACAUUUGUCCUCGCAUUGGAAAAGUGAGCAAGCAAAACGAUUUUAGCCAAGAUUGAGAUGAAGUUCUUUCACGUGUCAAAUGUCAACAGCAGCACAGCCACACUGUUAGCUGUUUCAGCUAACUCACCACCCCCCUCCCGCCUCAAGAUGGACCGAGCUACUAAACUAAGAGGCAUCCACACUUAAUGUAUCUCUUUAUCCUUCAAGAGUUGUGAUCUAACCGGGUUCGAGCUUCCUAGAACACGUGUUUCGAGGAAAGCGAAUACCCAUUACUACAAAGUUCCUGUUCCCAUUUGUCCGUUGCCAGAUCCCAGAGGAAACGAUCGGUGCUCAAAGGGAAAUUUGUUUAUUUAUUUAUUUGUUCUUUGGUUGAAUUCUUUUAAAUGCUGAACCCACAAGUUGAUCAAUGUCCCAGUUCGAUGUUGAUCGACAGGAUCCGGAA